rnacentral:rRNA from 1 species
GGCCCAACACAUGCAAGUCGAACGGCAGCACAGCAGUAGCAAUACUGUGGGUGGCGAGUGGCGGACGGGUGAGGAAUACAUCGGAAUCUACCUUGUCGUGGGGGAUAACGUAGGGAAACUUACGCUAAUACCGCAUACGAACUAUGGUUGAAAGCGGCGGACCGCAAGGCGUCGCGCGAUUGGAUGAGCCGAUGUCCGAUUAGCUAGUUGGCGGGGUAAAGGCCCACCAAGGCGACGAUCGGUAGCUGGUCUGAGAGGAUGAUCAGCCACACUGGAACUGAGACACGGUCCAGACUCCUACGGGAGGCAGCAGUGGGGAAUAUUGGACAAUGGGGGCAACCCUGAUCCAGCCAUGCCGCGUGUGUGAAAAAGGCCUUCGGGUUGUAAAGCACUUUUGUUCGGGAAGAAAAGCACUGGGCUAAUACCUUGGUGUCAUGACGGUACCGAAAGAAUAAGCACCGGCUAACUUCGUGCCAGCAGCCGCGGUAAUACGAAGGGUGCAAGCGUUACUCGGAAUUACUGGGCGUAAAGCGUGCGUAGGCGGUUGGUAAAGUUCUGUCGUGAAAGCCCCCGGCUCAACCUGGGAAUGCGAUGGAUACUGGCGAGCUAAAGUACCGUAGAGGAGAAUGGAAUUCCCGGUGUACCAGUGAAAUGCGU